AGAGUUUGAUCCUGGCUCAGAACGAACGCUGGCGGCAGGCUUAACACAUGCAAGUCGAACGGGUGUAGCAAUACAUCAGUGGCAGACGGGUGAGUAACACGUGGGAACCUUCCUAGAGGUACGGAACAACUCAGGGAAACUUGAGCUAAUACCGUAUACGCUCUUGCGAGGAAAGAUUUAUCGCCUUUAGACGGGCCCGCGUCGGAUUAGCUAGUUGUGGGGUAACGGCCUACCAAGGCGACGAUCCGUAGCUGAUCCGAGAGGAUGAUCAGCCACACUGGGACUGAGACACGGCCCAGACUCCUACGGGAGGCAGCAGUGGGGAAUCUUGGACAAUGGGCGCAAGCCUGAUCCAGCCAUGCCGCGUGAGUGAAGAAGGCCUGCGGGUUGUAAAGCUCUUUUGCCAGGGACGAUAAUGACGGUACCUGGAGAAUAAGCCCCGGCAAACUUCGUG
rnacentral:rRNA from 1 species